AUCUGCUCAUGAGAUCUAUUAAAUAGCUGCAGUAUUAUGACUGUACAAAGGUAGCAUAAUCAAUAGUUUUUUAAUUAAAAGCUGGAAUGAAAGAUUUGAUAAGGUAAAUAUUGUCUCAAAUUUAAUAAAAUUAUAAUUUUUAUUUUAGUUAAAAUACUAAAUUAAAUUUAAAAGACGAGAAGACCCUAUAGAUUUUUAUAAUUUAUAUUAAAAUUAAUUUAAUAAAAAUUUUUAAUUAUAAUAAAAAUUAUUUGAUUGGGGAAAUUAUUAAAUAUAUUAAAUUUUAAAUUUAUAUAUAUAUAUAUAUAUAUAUAUAUAUAUAUAUAUAUAUAUAUAUAUAUAUAUAUAUAUUAACAUUAAUUUAUGAAUAUUUGAUCUUAAUUAUAGAAUAUUAGAAUAAAAUACCUUAGGGAUAACAGCGUAAUAUUUUUAGAGAGAUCAUAUUGAUAAAAAAGUUUGCGACCUCGAUGUUGAAUUAAGAUUAAAUUUUAAAGGAGAA
rnacentral:rRNA from 1 species